GGGUGUUGAAAACCCGCGGGGCACGGACUCUUAAUCCGUAGGUUCAGGGUUCGAUUCCCUGGCGACCCACCCGCCA
rnacentral:tRNA from 1 species